GCUCCAGUGGCCUAGUGGUUAGAGCAUUCGUCUCGGAUGCGGAAGGUCGUGGGUUCGAUCCCCGGUCGAGUCA